rnacentral:rRNA from 1 species
AAGUCGUAACAAGGUUUCCGUAGGUGAACCUGCGGAAGGAUCAUUAAAAGGUUUAUCUGGGGGUGGGUAAAACCCCCCUGGAAAACUCCACCCUUGUAUAUUAUUACUUGUUGCUUUGGUGGGCCGCGAGAUUGCCUAGCGAUUGAGCACCGGCUUCGGCUGGAGAGCGCCUGCCAGAGGACCAAACUCUGUUAUUUAUGGCGUCUGAUUACUAUUUAAUAGUUAAAACUUUCAACAACGGAUCUCUUGGUUCUGGCAUCGAUGAAGAACGCAGCGAAAUGCGAUAAGUAAUGUGAAUUGCAGAAUUCAGUGAAUCAUCGAAUCUUUGAACGCACAUUGCGCCCCUUGGUAUUCCGAGGGGCAUGCCUGUUCGAGCGUCAUUAUCACCCCUCAAGCCUAGCUUGGUGUUGAGGCCUGCUGUAAGGGCAGCCUCUAAAAUCAGUGGCAGUGCUGUCAGGCUCUAAGCGUAGUAAAAUUCAUCGCUAUAGACACCUGGUGGACACUCGCCAGAACCCCCCCAUUUUUUAAUGAUUGACCUCGGAUUAGGUAGGGAUACCCGCUGAACUUAAGCAUAUCAAUAAGCGGAGGAAAAGAAACCAACAGGGAUUGCCUCAGUAACGGCGAGUGAAGCGGCAAAAGCUCAAAUUUGAAAUCUGGCUCUUUUAGGGUCCGAGUUGUAAUUUGUAGAAGAUGUUUCGGGUGUGGCUCCGGUUUAAGUUCUUUGGAAUAUUACAUCAUAGAGGGUGAGAAUCCCGUAUGUGACCGGCAGCCUCCGCCUAUGUGAAACUCUUUCGACGAGUCGAGUUGUUUGGGAAUGCAGCUCAAAAUGGGAGGUAUAUUUCUUCUAAAGCUAAAUAUUGGCCAGAGACCGAUAGCGCACAAGUAGAGUGAUCGAAAGAUGAAAAGCACUUUGGAAAGAGAGUUAAACAGUACGUGAAAUUGUUGAAAGGGAAGCGCUUGCAACCAGACUUGCACGCAGUUGAUCAUCCGGUGUUCUCACCGGGGCACUCUGCUGCGUUCAGGCCAGCAUCGGUUUUGGUGGUUGGAUAAAGGCCUUGGGAAUGUGGCUUCCUUCGGGGAGUGAUAUAGCCCUCGGUGCAAUGCAGCCUACCGGGACCGAGGACCGCGCUUCGGCUAGGAUGCUGGCGUAAUGGUUGUAAGCGACC